rnacentral:rRNA from 1 species
GAUGAACGCUAGCGGCAGGCUUAACACAUGCAAGUCGAGGGGCAGCGCGGGAUAGCAAUAUCCUGGCGGCGACCGGCGGAAGGGUGCGUAACGCGUGAGCGACAUGCCCGUUGCCCGGGGACAACCGGUGGAAACACCGACUAAUCCCCGAUGGGAUAUUGUGCCGCAUGGCACGAUAUUGAAAGUUACGGCGGCGACGGAUUGGCUCGCGUCCGAUUAGCUUGUUGGCGGGGUAACGGCCCACCAAGGCUGCGAUCGGUAGGGGUUCUGAGAGGAAGGCCCCCCACAAUGGGACUGAGACACGGCCCAUACUCCUACGGGAGGCAGCAGUGAGGAAUAUUGGUCAAUGGGCGGAAGCCUGAACCAGCCAUGCCGCGUGCGGGAAGGAGGCCCUAUGGGCUGUGAACCGCUUUUGCCUGGGGGCAAUAAGGGCGUCGCGCACGUCCGAUGAGAGUACCAGGCGAAUAAGCAUCGGCUAACUCCGUG